rnacentral:rRNA from 1 species
GUGCCAGCAGCCGCGGUAAUACGUAGGUGGCAAGCGUUGUCCGGAAUUAUUGGGCGUAAAGCGCGCGCAGGCGGCUAUGUAAGUCUGAUGUUAAAGCCCGAGGCUCAACCUCGGUUCGCAUUGGAAACUGCGUAGCUUGAGUGCAGAAGAGGAAAGCGGUAUUCCACGUGUAGCGGUGAAAUGCGUAGAGAUGUGGAGGAACACCAGUGGCGAAGGCGGCUUUCUGGUCUGUAACUGACGCUGAGGCGCGAAAGCGUGGGGAGCAAACAGGAUUAGAAACCCUUGUAGUCC